rnacentral:lncRNA from 1 species
CAACCUCUCUUACAACUUAAAUCUAAUUCAAAACAUAAUGAUUCUACUUUAUUUCUUUGGAUCCUGAUGUGAUUCUAAUUUUCAAAAAAUAAAGUUGGUGCAAUUAAACCUAUUAGCUAGCCAGAUCAACCAAGUUAUAAUUUAAGGAAAAAAAAAAGUAAAAUAAAUUUAUUUUCUCCUGGACUAAUCGGGCCCAGUUCAGUACAACGUGCCUUUAGAAAGGAGAGGUUGCGGUGGAAAAUGGCCAGAAGUAUUAAGACUUGCAUGACUCUAUGGUCUGUAUCCCAAAAAGUGGGGAACUCUUUGUCGUUCCCUUCUUACCUUUAAUUUUAUCAAACACCUCUUCAGAAUCUUUGUGCCACAAUAUCUUUUAUAUUCUGAGAAAUCAUAAUGAGUGUUGUGCUCGUGUCUAAGCUUUUCUGAAUAUAUGCAUCCACCUCCUAAAGC